AACGGAUUGAGUAAAAGCGUAAAAACCUUGCCUCACAGAUAGGGGACCACCAUUUGGAAACGGAAUGCUAAUACCCUGAUAUUAAGAUUUUAGGGGCAUCCUUAGAAUUAUGAAAACCUAUAUGCGCUGUGAGGAGAGCCUUUGCGUCCCAUUAGCUAAUUGGAGAGGGUAACGGGCUCACCAAGGCGACGAUCCGGUAGCCGGCCUGAGAGGGUGAACGGCCACAAAGGGGACUGAGACACGGCCCCUUACUCCUACGGGAGGCAGCAGUGGGAGAAUAUUGGACAAUGGCCCAAGAGUCUGAUCCAGCAAUUCUGUGUGCACGAUGAAGUUUUUCGGAAUGUAAAGUGCUUUCAGUUGGGAAGAAAAAAAUGACGGUACCAACAGAAGAAGUGACGGCUAAAUGCGUGCCAGCAGCCGCGGUAAUACGUAUGCCACAAGCGUUAUCCGGAUUUAUUGGGCGUAAAGCGCGUCUAGGUGGUUAUAUAAGUCUGAUGUGAAAAUGCAGGGCUCAACUCUGUAUUGCGUUGGAAACUGUGUAACUAGAGUACUGGAGAGGUAAGCGGAACUACAAGUGUAGAGGUGAAAUUCGUAGAUAUUUGUAGGAAUGCCGAUGGGGAAGCCAGCUUACUGGACAGAUACUGACCCUGAAGCGCGAAAGCGUGGGUAGCAAACAGG
rnacentral:rRNA from 1 species